CUGAUGCGUACCAUAAGUACAAUUGAUUUCCAUAAAGCAUUGGCCGCAAUUAAAGGCCCCACCCAGUUCCCCAAUUAACUCCACGGUCCAUUGAUUUCCAUAACUUUCUAUUCAUCUUCUCCACUCACAUGGAUCUCCCUUACCUAACCCAGGGCGGCUGAUCGGACUGAGGUGAGGCCACCCUCCCGGCGCAGCGGCCGCCUCUGUCGGUUCCAUCGACGGUCUCCCCUCCUUCUCCGCCCCGCAGAAGUCCUUUGGCCUCCAUCGGGCCCUGCUUCUUCGGUCGCUUCCCGCAGAUGGAAAAUAUGGAGAGGAAGUUCCAGCAUGCGGUGGUGGAUUUGUGGUUGGCUUACUCCCUCAACAUCACUUGCACCAAAGAUUGCCCCUCCGGAUCAGAAGGUGCUCCAUGUUUUUCUUCAUACAUAUCUUGGUGCUUGAUUCCCAGCCAACAACGCCAAGAGCAACGAGGUUUUACUCCUCGUGGAAUCUUCACCAUUAACUCCAAGUCUACUUUGUUUCCGGAUAUUCUCAAUAUAAAAAUUGGGGUAUGUUGUUCAAGUAAGUUUAGCUGACUGCUCGGAUUGUCAACCAUUGCUUUUUCUUUAGUUAUUCGACAGUCACUAUUUUAAUUUCCUAACUAUACACAUGUCCCCUUGUAUGUCUACUUAUAGUCCUCUCUUAACAGUUCAAGUAGCACUAUCGCUUCCUUUCAGACCCUUAUAUAGGAACUACAAGCAAAUUUUGCUGGCUCUGUUGUACAUCUUGGAGUUAAUGUAUAUUCUCUUUUAGUUAGCCGAUGCAAUGCUGUGAAGUUAUUCUAUUACCCUUCCUUGAGAAUAUGGAAAUUCAUGUUUGGUGAUCGAGUUGGGCAAGUUAUGCGCA